rnacentral:lncRNA from 1 species
AUGGCUCCCAAGGUCACCGGGCAGCGCCAGCCCCGGCUGCUGGGCCUGACCUCCCCCUUGUUUGUCCCGGGGGCUGCUCCCUCCCUCGCCCCACGCCUUGCUCCGUGCCUUGCCCUGCCCAGGCUCGUCCCUGGCCGAUUUUCCCUGAAGCAGCCGCGUUUUUGUGGCUGCUCGCGGCCGGUUCCCUCUCGCUGCCUCGGGAUGCUGGGGCUGGGAGCUGCCACCAGCCCCGGGACUGGGAAUGCCCCAGCCCUGCUCGGGCGAGAGGGGCGGCUUCCCUGCCGCCGGGGUCACGGGAGCAGGAGGCCACCGGGCCCUGUCCCGGGGCUAGGACGGCUCGAGGGGCUCCAGGAGCCUGCGGCUGCUGGGAGCGGGGCCAUGGGGGGAGGCUGCCCCCGCUCUGCACCGCGGGGUUCUCCGGUGCGGGAGGACACGGGUGGGGGGGGGAAGGAUGUGAGAUGGGGGGGGGCGGCCGGGCAGGACGUGCCGGGGGGCAGGAGCGGAGGUCAGGGGAAGAGGCGCUCCGGGAGGAUCGAGGAGUUCCCGAGCCCGGCGGAUCCCCGCGGGGGCUGGCGGCAGCGGCCCCAUUGUCUCGGCUUUUCCUGCCCCGCUGCCAGCACCCCCGGGCCCCCCCCCCGGCCGCCAGCUCCGUGGCUCUCCUGGGGCUGCCUCAGCCAAGCACCGGGGCUGGGCCGGGGCCGGGGCCGCUCUCCCGUAGGGCCCCUGGUCCCGGUGAGCGGGGCCGCGGCACCCGGCUGCUAUCGCCCGCCCGGCACCUCGCCGUUAUCGGGCGGCUGCAGCCGGGCUGGGAACCUGGGACCCCCCCCGGCCCCGGGGCUCCUGGGCCUCGAGCGAGGGCUCUGCUCCCGCAGGGCACGGCCGGGAUUUCAGCCCCGGGGGUGUCCGGUGCCGCCGCCCGGUGCCCGCUCCUCGCGGCUCCCCCCGGGGCCGUGCUGCCGGUUUGUGUUGGCGCGGGCCCCGCCGCUGUCCGCGGGCAGCCUCUGUCCCCGCCUCGCCCCCCGCGCCGGGGAAGCGCCGCCCGGUUCCCUUCCCACGCGUGGGGCCGCGGCCCCGGCUCACCCCGGGGCUGGGGGGGGGGGGGGCCCCCGCGCCCGCCCCCCCGCGGCCCCC